rnacentral:rRNA from 1 species
UACGUAGGGGGGCGAGCGUUGUCCGGAGUUACUGGGCGUAAAGCGCGCGCAGGCGGUUCGAUAAGUUGGGGGUGAAAUCCCCGGGCUCAACCCGGGAAUGGCCUUCAAGACUGUCGAUCUAGAGGACGAGAGAGGUGAGUGGAAUUCCCAGUGUAGAGGUGAAAUUCGUAGAUAUUGGGAAGAACACCGGUGGCGAAGGCGGCUCACUGGCUCGUUUCUGACGCUGAGGCGCGAAAGCGUGGGGAGCAAACAGG